GCCUUACAUAUAAGCUAGGUUUGUAAAAAGUUAUUGUAGUUCGGCAACAUGUGUAGGUCGAAGUUCAGUGGCCAGUAAGUAGUUCACCGGAAGUAGCAGGUGAGAUUGAACAGCGAGGUGCAGUGGACUAUACUAUACGUGAAGUAAUGAUUUUCUCUUCUGAUUUUGAUAAAUUAACUUGUAGAUUAUUUGGAAUUAUAGAAAAUAUGAGAGUAUGUAAAAAAAAGCUUACAAAUUAGGUAACUAGAUUAAAAGAAAGACAUUAUUUUUCCCUCUCUAUACACAUAUAUAUUCUGAACUGAUUUACAGUAUUGUCAUCUGCUUAUUAUUAUUUAUUAACCAUUCAGGCUGUUCCCGCCUAAGCUCGGCGCAGAAGGUGGUGUCGGCACACCCUUUGGAAGAAUAUUUAGAAGCAAAAAUUCAUAUUUAGAAUAUGAUGGUGGUGGUUUCACAUGCGUAGUGUAAGGUAUCGGCCUACCACCAAUCGACGGCGUAGAGGAUAUGGUGAAAAGAAUGAGAAGAAUGAAAGAUACAACGAUGUUGUUCACCGCCAUUAAUUUUCUUUUAGAAUGAUAGUUGGGUAGCGUGGGCACUUGUGGUGUGGUUUGAAGUCUGAACUUGUUUCUCUUAAAUAAAAAGAGAGAAAGAAGAGAUUAUUCGGAGGAGCCGC
rnacentral:lncRNA from 1 species